GACGAACGCUGGCGGCGUGCCUAACACAUGCAAGUCGAACGGAGAAUUAGCAAUAAUUCUUAGUGGCGAACGGGUGAGUAACGCGUAGACAACCUACCCUUUAGAUGGGGACAACACCGCGAAAGUGGUGCUAAUACCGAAUAUUGCUUGAGAAGCGCAUGCUUUUCAAACUAAAGAUGGCCUCUAUUUAUAAGCUAUCGCUAAAGAAUGGGUCUGCGUCUGAUUAGCUAGUUGGUGAUAUAAAAGCUCACCAAGGCAACGAUCAGUAGCCGGUCUGAGAGGAUGAACGGCCACACUGGGACUGAGACACGGCCCAGACUCCUACGGGAGGCAGCAGUGGGGAAUCUGCCGCAAUGGACGAAAGUCUGACGGAGCAACGCCGCGUGAGUGAUGAAGGUUUUCGGAUCGUAAAACUCUGUUGUUAAGGACGAAUGUAUAGAUUGUGAAUAAUGGUUUAUAAUGACGGUACUUAACGAGGAAGCCACGGCUAACUACGUGCCAGCCGCCGCGGUAA
rnacentral:rRNA from 1 species